UGGCUAAGGGUCUUGACCAGUGGGGCACUGAAGAAGCGAGCCACACCUCCAUCGUACGCCCUGCGAGGAGGAAAUUGCCACAGUCACCUCAACCUUCAGCAACCACCAACUUGAUCAAUCAGCAGCCAAUAACGUGAAGUCAUGACCAUUCACCAGCAAAAAGUUUAUGAUUCACCAAAAUAUUAGAUGAUCAUUAACAUUUUUAGCAAUAAUGUAUUUGUCAUUAAGGUGUUAGUGCAUUGGAAAAUCAUUUAAAGAAUGUAUCAGCUAAUUGAAGGCUUAUGUCUGAAGUUCCUGUAUCUGCCUACGAUCCAGACCCACCAAGGAGGACGACAGUGUUUUUCUUUUCUUCCCCUCCACGUUAUCUCAUUAUCUGUAGCAGAAAAGAAGACCAAGAUGUGGCUACACCCGAGCAGACCUUUUUCCAUGUAUAAAGACUGUCUCAAAGGAUCAUUUAAAUUUCACGAACUAUUUACAAGUUAAUAGUUUGAUUGUUCCUGGACCCAAUUAUUCUCCCUAUCAAUCAUUUAAAAUCAAUUUUAACAUUGUGGUAGUAGAAUUUUUUCCUUUAACUGAUAUUAUAUUAAAACAUUCCACAAUUGAACACGUAUUAACUCUUAAGUAUGUAUAGCCUCCCGUGACCAUUUGUGUAUGAAAUCCAUUCAAACCAUACAAUAUCACAAUCUAAAUCUUUUUACUUACAGUCAUGUUAUAAUACUCUGGAUUUAAGUCUUACUUUUUAUGGUUUACAUAUCAUACUCUGUAGAAUAGCUAAGCAUAUUAUUAGAAAUGAGACUUUUGUGCAAUUUUCACCCACAUUCGAUUUAUAGACAAACUGAUAUUCUUUUCACACAGCAAAAGAAUUCAGCCUGGCAUCUUUAGGAAAUGAAAAACUGGUUGCCAGAGGGAAGGAACCUAAAUUUUUUCAAUGUGGUUAUUAUAUAUAUUGUAGGCCAGGCCUUUUUCCCAAGUAAGGAGAAGGGGAGACUCAUAUAUAUAUAUUUUUAUUUUUAAUAAAAAUUUGACUUGGGAAAUUUAUGAAUUUAUUUUAGUGA
rnacentral:lncRNA from 1 species